rnacentral:rRNA from 1 species
UUUUCUCGAAUUUAUUAAUUUAUAAAUGAUUUAUUUAAAAAGUAAUUUUUUGUUUAAUUAAAAAUUUCAAAAAAAUUAUUUAAAAUUUUGACUGUAAAGGAUUUUACAUUGAAAAUUAUUGAAAAGUAAAUUUUUUUAUUGUACCUUUUGUAUCAGGGUUAAUUAAUUUUCUAUUAUAAAUUAAAUUUUCCCGAAAUAUUAAGAUUUUAGUUAAUUUGGUUUUAAUUAUUUCAUAAAUUUUAAUAAAAUUGAUUAGGAUUCGAAAUGAAAAUCGUUUAAUCUGAUAUCUGGUUAUUUUGUAAAUAAAUUUAAUUUAGGUGAUUUUUUUAUAAAAGUUUUUUUUACUUACAUUUUUUGUCACAAAUUUAAUUUGGGUUAAUCUAAUUUAAAUUUUAUAAUUUUUUUAUGGGGGGGGGUAAAGAAAUUGUAGGAUUAAAAUUUUUUUUCUUAAUAAAUUUGUUUUAAAAUAUUCUUUUUAUACCAUUUGAUUUAAUUUUUAACAAAAUUUUUAUAUAAAAUGUCUCUUUAUAAAAAUUAUGAUUAAAUUAGUAAAUUAAAAUUUUUAUUAUAUGAACUAGGCAAAUAAAAUUUUCUGUCUGUUUAUCAAAAACAUUUCUUCUAGUUUAAUUAUUGGAAGUUGGGCCUGCUCAAUGAAUUAAUUUAAAUAGCUGCAGUAUUUUAACUGUACAAAGGUAGCAUAAUAAUUAGUCUUUUAAUUGAGGUCUAGAAUGAAUGGUUUAACAAGAAAAAUUCUUUAUUUAAUUAAUUUGGUUAAAUUUAAUUUUUUAGUUAAAAAGCUAAAAUUUUUAAAUGGGACGAUAAGACCCUAUAGAUCUUUAAAUUUUUAUAACUGAAUAUGUUUUAGGUUAAAUAGGGUUUUAAAUAAAAAUUUUUUGUUGGGGUGACAAUUAAAUUUUUAAAACUUUAAUGUUUAUUUACAUAAAUUUAUGAAUUCAAUUGAUCUUAAAUUUUAGAUUAAUAAAAUAAGAUACCUUAGGGAUAACAGCGUAAUGAGUUUGUAUAGUCCAUAUAGAUAAAUUUGUUUACGACCUCGAUGUUGAAUUAAUUAAAAUUUUUGGAGCAGAAUAUAAAAUUUUAGGUCUGUUCGACCUUUAAAAUAUUACAUGAUUUGAGUUCAAACCGGCGUAAGCCAGGUUGGUUUCUAUCUAUUUAAUUUUAAUUUAAUCAGUACGAAAGGACCUUUAAAUUUGAAACAUUUUCU